GACGAACGCUGGCGGCGUGCUUAACACAUGCAAGUCGAGCGGAGCGGCGAACGGGUGAGUAACGCGUGAGUAAGUGCCCCCCUCUCUGGGAUAACAGUUGGAAACGGCUGCUAAUACCGGAUAGUGGGGGAUGACUCGCGUCCUAUCAGCUUGUUGGUGGGGUAGUGGCGUCCCCAGGCAACGACGGGUAGCCGGCCGGAGAGGGCGACCGGCCACAUUGGCCUGAGAUACUGCCCAAACUCCUACGGGAGGCAGCAGUGGGGGCUAUUGCACAAUGGUCGAAAGCCUGAUGCAGCGACGCCGCGUGGGGGAUGAAGGCUUUCGGGUUGUAAACCUCUUUCGCUAUCGAAAGGGUAGGUGGAGAAGAAGCGCCGGCUAACUACGUGCCAGCCGCCGCGGUAAUAC
rnacentral:rRNA from 1 species